rnacentral:rRNA from 1 species
UACGUAGGGGGCAAGCGUUGUCCGGAUUUACUGGGCGUAAAGGAUGCGUAGGCGGACAUUUAAGUCAGAUGUGAAAUACCCGAGCUUAACUUGGGUGCUGCAUUUGAAACUGGGUGCCUAGAGUGCAGGAGAGGUAAGUGGAAUUCCUAGUGUAGCGGUGAAAUGCGUAGAGAUUAGGAAGAACACCAGUGGCGAAGGCGGCGAUCUGGGCAGUUACUGACGCUGAGGUGCGAAAGCGUGGGGAGCAAACAGG